UACGUAGGCAGCGAGCGUUGUUCGGAGUUACUGGGCGUAAAGGGUGCGUAGGCGGUUGUUUAAGUUUGGUGUGGAAUCUCCCGGCUCAACUGGGAGGGUGCGCCGAAUACUGAAUGACUAGAGUGCGGGAGAGGAUAGUGGAAUUCCUGGUGUAGCGGUGAAAUGCGUAGAUAUCAGGAGGAACACCGGUGGUGUAGACGGCUAUCUGGACCGUAACUGACGCUGAGGCACGAAAGCGUGGGUAGCAAACAGG
rnacentral:rRNA from 1 species